rnacentral:rRNA from 1 species
GACGAACGCUGGCGGCGUGCUUAACACAUGCAAGUCGAACGAAGUGGCGUACGGGUGAGUAACGCGUAAUCAACCUGCCCUUCAGAGGGGGACAACAGUUGGAAACGACUGCUAAUACCGCAUACUGAAGGAGGGGAUUGCGUCUGAUAAGCUAGUUGGAGGGGUAACGGCCGACCAAGGCGAUGAUCAUUAGCCGGUCGGAGGGGAUGAACGUCCACAGUGGGAUGGAGACACGGCCCAGACUCCUGAGGAAGGCAGCAGUGGGGAAUCUGCAGCAAUGGACGAAAGUCUGACGGAGCAACGCCGCGUGAGUGAAGAAGGUUUGCGGAUCGUAAGACUCUGUUGUCAGAGAGCGGUAUCUAACCAGAAAGCCACGGCUAACUACGUGCCAGCAGCCGCGGUAAUUC